AGUGGCAGACGGCUGAGUAACACGUAAGUGAUUUGCCCCAGAGAGGGGGAUAAGCCGGAGAAAUCCGGUCUAAUACCCCGUACGCUCCCUUUAUUGCGGUUUAGGGAGGAAAAGUUCCGGCGCUCUGGGAGAAGCUUGCGGCCUAUCAGGUAGUUGGUGGGGUAAAAGCCUACCAAGCCGAAGACGGGUAACCGGUGUGAGAGCACGAUCGGUCAGAGGGGGACUGAGACACGGCCCCCACUCCUACGGGAGGCAGCAGCAGGGAAUCUUGCGCAAUGGGCGGAAGCCUGGCGCAGCGACACCGCGUGGGGGAUGAAGGUUUUCGAAUUGUAAACCCCUUUUCCCGGGGAUGAGAACGGACAGUACCCGGGGAAUAAGGUUCGGCUAACUACGUGCCAGCAGCCGCGGUAAUACGUAGGAACCGAGCGUUGUCCGGAUUUACUGGGCGUAAAGUGCGCGUAGGCGGUCUGUUAAGUCUCAUGUGAAAUCUCCCGGCUCAACUGGGAGGGGUCAUGGGAUACUGGCUGACUGGAGUGCAGUAGAGGAGAGCGGAAUUCCCGGAGUAGUGGUGGAAUGCGUAGAUACCGGGAGGAACACCAGAGGCGAAGGCGGCUCUCUGGGCUGUAACUGACGCUGAGGCGCGAAAGCGUGGGUAGCAAACCGGAUUAGAUACCCGGGUAGUCCACGCCCUAAACGAUGGAUACUAGGCAUGGGGGGUAUCGACCCCCUCCGUGCCGCAGCUAACGCAAUAAGUAUCCCGCCUGAGGAGUACGGCCGCAAGGCUAAAACUCAAAGGAAUUGACGGGGACCCGCACAAGCAGCGGAGCGUGUGGUU
rnacentral:rRNA from 1 species